UACGGGGGGGAGCAAGCGUUUGUUCGGAUUUACUGGGCGUAAAGGGCGCGUAGGCGGUCGUGACAAGUCACUUGUGAAAUCUCCGGGCUUAACUCGGAACGGUCAAGUGAUACUGUCGGACUAGAGUACAGAAGGGGCAACUGGAAUUCUCGGUGUAGCGGUGAAAUGCGUAGAUAUCAGGAGGAACACCGAUGGCGAAGGCAGGUCUCUGGGCAUUAACUGACGCUGAGGAGCGAAAGCAUGGGGAGCGAACAGG
rnacentral:rRNA from 1 species